GUGAGAUAAAGGCAAACUAUUUGAAAAAAUAGGACGCAAAACCUAGGGUCUAAGGUUGCAUGGAUAAUCAUCCAUUCAUACUAUGAUCGCCUGGCUACCUAA
rnacentral:ncRNA from 1 species